GGGGCUCCUCCCGUUCCUGGAGCUCCUCCCCUCCUGUUGACCGGUCUGCUCUCAGAAUCCGGUUGUGGGGAGUUCCUUGGCGAGGGGCGGGUUGCUAGCUGGGUUGGCAGAUUUGCUUGGAGUUCGAGAGCCUCAGCACUGCAUGUGCCUAGCUUCUCUUGCGUCUGCGAGGUGUUUGGUUUGGUGGAGUUGGUGCAUGAAAUCCCUACGACGCAACCUGUCGAUGGUGUUUGGGGUGGAGUCGGAGCUGCUUGGCCGGGUGUGGCAAGCUGGGCAACGAUAACCCCCUUGCCCCUUCUUUUUGGUAGCUUCGUUGGGGUGGCUGUGCUGUUGGCUUCCUGGCGUGUGUGUUGGGGGGAGUCGGAGCUGCUUGUAGGUGACAAGCUCGGCAACGGUAACCCUCUCCCGCUUUCCUUGGUAGCGUUGUGGAAGCCAGGGGUGUCGUAGUUGGCAGGGA
rnacentral:lncRNA from 1 species